rnacentral:lncRNA from 1 species
CUUGUGGGGAGCGGUGUCAGCCAAAAAGCUUCAUUUUAAUUUUACCCUCUGUUAUGAAUAUCCAGGGGGCUGUGUUAUGGGGAACCAUGUCUCCGCUAAUUCCGGUGUUUACCUUUAGAGAUUGCCCUGGCAACAAGAUGAACCUUCUGUGACCCCAUGAAGCAGGGUAGCCCCUGAGGGUGGGGAGUGUCUAGAGGGCUGGCGAACAGGGAGGCGGGUGUUUUUGGAUGGGGGUCAUGGUUGGUGGCCUUGCUCGCUGAGUGUAUAGAGGAGAGGUGGGGGUGGACUUGCUCGCUCGGUCUUUGUGGGCCCUCCCGUCUCUCUGUUUCUUCUUUCUCAAUCCUCACGUCCCUACUCAGGUCUUGUUCCACAAGUGGCACCUGAACAGGGACCUGAGAACGGGGAGGAAGUUGCCGUGAAGGACGUCGCUGGUGAAAAGGCUCCGGGGCUGGAGGAAGAUGGGCCUCGCUGGUUACCUGAGUGUCUUGUUCGGCAUGCAGAGUCUCCUGGGGCUACAGGGGGACCCAUAUUGGACCCCGUUACCAGAGCCACCGGUACUUCACCCAGCACGAUGGG